GGUGGCUGGAGAGCCUAGUGAGUGUAGGUGGAUGGAGGUGCCUGGGUGGCUGGAGAGCCUAGUGAGUGUAGGUGGAUGGAGGUGCCUGGGUGGCUGGUGCUGUGGGCUCUUGGGAAAGCAGGUACAAGUUACUCAGGAUAUUUUUAUUUUCUUUAUGGCACAUUUCCACAUUGACAUUAUUCUCUCUGCUUCUCCCACUUUUUUGUUUCUUGGGGUGGUAGGGGUGGUGGAGAAUUUGCCUUUCUGAAACAGGGUCUCAGACUUACUAUGUAGCCAAAGAUGACUUUAGACUCCUGGUCCUUCUGCAUCUACCUCUGAGUGCUAGUAUAAGGUCACCACAUGUUUCUGCUUUUCCCUUUAAAUAUCUUUAUUAAACUAUAAUAAGGGCCUGUGAGAUGGGUAAAGGCACUUGCCCCCAAGCUUGAUGGCCUGAGUUCAUAUUCCACAUAUGCUGGGGAGGAGACAACCCACUCCAUAGGGUUGGCCCCUGACCUUCACAAAAAUUCUGUGUAUCUUGUACACCCAUGUGUCCACAUGCAUGCACACACA